UACAGAGGGGGCAAGCGUUGUUCGGAAUUACUGGGCGUAAAGCGUGCGCAGGCGGUCCUUAAGUCAGAUGUGAAAUCCCCGGGCUUAACCUGGGAACUGCGUUUGAAACUGAGGGGCUUGAGUGUGGAAGAGGGGGGUGGAAUUCCAGGUGUAGCAGUGAAAUGCGUAGAGAUCUGGAGGAACACCGAUGGCGAAGGCAGCCCCCUGGGCUAACACUGACGCUCAUGCACGAAAGCGUGGGGAGCAAACAGG
rnacentral:rRNA from 1 species